CACGUAGGGCGCAAGCGUUGUCCGGAAUUAUUGGGCGUAAAGAGCUCGUAGGCGGUCUGUUGCGUCCGCUGUGAAAACUCGGGGCUUAACCCCGAGCCUGCAGUGGAUACGGGCAGACUAGAGGUAGGUAGGGGAGAAUGGAAUUCCCGGUGUAGCGGUGAAAUGCGCAGAUAUCAGGAGGAACACCAAUAGCGAAGGCAGCUCGCUGGGACGGUACUGACGCUGAGGCGCGAAAGCGUGGGGAGCGAACAGG
rnacentral:rRNA from 1 species